UCUGUCCAUGGAUAUUCUGAGUGGAAAAAAAUACUGCCAAAAACCAAGUACAUCACUGCAUUUCCUAAAUAAGGUAAUUAAUAAUUAUUGGUUGAGGCCUAAUAAAUCAUAACAUUCAUAACCAUGGUGUUUCCAAUGGGCCAGCGCUCCUAUGCACACUCACUAAGCAAUCUACUUGUCAUAAGGAAACCAUACCCUGUAGUGAUUCUGUAGUGAUUCUACUUGCCAAAAAGCAAAGAUGAGGGAUGACUUUCCUCCCCCCAGACCGUUUCCACAGAAUGUAUUUGUCCUGUCUUUCCAGCUGGGAGUCGGUGUCUCCGGUCCCUCCUCAAGACCCUGCUUGUCAAAUGAGUCCUGUCUCUUUGAAAUAUUUAUACAUACCACAUCACCUAUAUUUCACAGCUACGUUAAGAGGUAGACAGUCUCUGGGACAGACGGGGUGUUCAAAGAGAGCAAAUCAUAUAUAGCACAAUGUCACCAGGCAAGAGACGAUUGAAGAACCGCGUGAGGCCAAGGUCCAGUUGCAAGAACAUUAAUUCUCUUUGUGUCAAUGUUUUCGUGCUAUAGUCUGGUGCAGCCUGUCAUUUAUUUCUUUCCUGGGAUGAUGCAGCUAUUUGUGGGCCCCAGUGAUCUCUUGAGCUUGUGGCCUGACAUUUCUUGUCACCUCUUUCUUGUUCAUUUUCUUCUCAGCACUGCAGCCAAGGAUGUCUCCAGGAUCCCUGAAGUUUGAUCUCUUUCUCCCCUCCCUCCCUAGACACUUAAGGAAGUGAGUACAGCCCAGCUGGAAGCUUUGCUGCGGCAUUUCCCUUGCUAUGGCUCACUAAAAGGGAGAAGAAACAGACAGUAAGAAGGGAAAAGGAACACAACGGGGCACCUGAGAGGCAACGGGCAGAGCCGGGGUGACUCCAAAUGCUGCAAGAGAGCCUGACAUGGUGAGGAGGCCAUCCUGCAGAGUCGCUUUUGUGGGAGUGCUCAGACCGGAGAAGAAACGACAGAUCGUACAACCUGCUGGGAACCUCCACCUCCUCCACCCUUUAUAGGCUGGCAGAGGUUGAAGUCUGAUUGAUUUCUCAGUUACAUCUAGUCCUCAGAAGAAAGAGAAAAAGAGCUAAUCAUGCUAGCAUGAUACUAGAGCCAGGGACUCUGAUGGCUGUGGCUAUUACUGCCUCCGGAGUGACAUGCUGAGCGGAUGUGCCUGACGGGUGACCUCACAUUGAGCCGUGAAGAUGUUGGGAGCGACCAGCUCUACCACACACCAUUGCUCAGUACCUCACAGAGGGGGAGGGAGGAAUGUAACACAGAGUGUCAGCCUGACGUAAAGCCAAAUACAGGGCCGCUGGAGUCAAGAUAGGGCUUGGUUUACAUAUUGUAUAUGUGGCACUUUUUAUUAAAGCUUGAAAAUGUAAUCCCCUCUGUUGCAACCUCCCUCUAGGGGCUCACCAGGAGCUGCAGUAUUUUCAUGCAUGUCCCCUCGUGUCUCAAGCGUUGCACACUCACCCCGUGGGUUUCCUAAGAAGUUUCUCCCUGCAGCUCCCCAGGGUGGCUGUGCUCCGGUGAAGGGCGAAGCGAUUCUCCUUGCUAAACCAACCCCUGCAUCCAGACUUCCCCAGGAAUAUCAGAUGAGGGUUUUGAGUAACGGCAGCAGCAGUCUUCCCUAUUAGCGAAGUAAAGCAGGAAAAUUAGUGGAAAAUAACGUAAUUUUUAUACGGACCAAAUCAUUCACAGAUGAUGGAGGCAGAAGGAAACACUACUGGUCUGACCUCCCGUUCUAAUCAGAGUGCAUUGUGAGCAGCAACCUCCAGUCCUGAUUUCUGAGAAGCCAAUAAUAAACCAUUCAUUUGUAUCUCGCACAGAGCAGUGCCGUAUUCCAUCAGGAUGCACAAACUGUUAUUCUUAAGGAACAAUACGCAUUUGGGAUCAGAUUUACAGCUGUUCAGUAGCCUUCAGAUUUGCAGGUAAACCACAAGAUCUGACUUGCUGGAAGGUUUCAUGGCAUGUGAGGCUGGCACAGAGAAAUAAAUGCCUCUGAUUUCCCCCCUCUGACUUUUCCCUGCUUCUGGCAUCAGGACUGAGGGAGACAGGAGCCACAUCUCCACUCAUGUUUAGGAGGGACUGGGGGAGCC